UUCUUUUUCAUUCUUUUAUAGUAACACAUACACAAACCUCCGAAAUUAGAACACGAAAACAGAUGUCGCUGUUAAAAUUUAAGUUUUAUCAAACGAAGUGAAACCGAAGAUAGACGAAGUGAAAUAAGUUAAUGUAAAUAAAGAAAAUGAGGUUAAAGUUAAGUGAAUUUAUCAACAAAACACAAUGGAUUAUUCGAUUUUUGACUGUCAUGGAAAAAAAUUGAAUUAUCCGGAGCUUUUGAACAUCUGUGGCAUCCACGGAUUCCGGGAAAGAAUACCCGGACAACUCCCAGGCAGCAUGAAAUUUUUGUUUAAUAAGCAGAAUCUCAUGCGGAAUGAUGGAAGCAUUUGUGAAAGAGUAGAAAAUGGUGGGACCAGCUCUCCGGAAUGGCAUUAAGAGAAGAAGUCGCUAAUCUACAUAGAAUGUUCCUUAAUAAAAUGUCUUCCCAUACUCUAACUUUUGCCUUUUUUCUACACUACAGAAGUAUCUUUUAAUGCAGUGCCUGUGUGAAUGCAUAAUUCUAAUCAUCUUCCUCAAGGCCAAGUCUCUGGAAAUUAUUGACAUUCGUUGGCAUAAUUCACAAAAAAUGGUCAGAGUUUUUCCACAUAUUUCACAAUAUUUUUUGUUAAAAAACAAUUCCAAACACUCAGAUUCAUGUAAAAUAUCCGUCAAAGUAGUCAAUUGUUGCCUAUGACGAUAAGGAAUCAUGAUUUGGUGGUCACAAAAUGCACAAAAAGAUUGAAAAAGCACCUCGGCAGGUCCUUAUAAAACAUAUGAUUUUGUAAGAUUUUCUUACAAGUUAUAAGAAAAUAUUCGACCGGAAUACCAAAACCUUUUCUUUUCUAUUAUAGCAAAAAUGUUUCUCGCGACGUGGUCUAAAAGUUGAACUGUGAAACUUUUUAGAUCUUACAAAUUUAUAAGUUUUUUUUGUGAGAAUGCCAAAAAACCUUAUAACUCACGAAUUGUAAGAAAAGAAAAGAAAAUAUUUUUGCCAGAAUUAGCUCCAAAAUUCAAAAUUGCCUAGAAAUGCGAAUUUUUAAAUUAAAUACUUUGGCGCCAUUUGAAGGCUCGAAGAAUUCCAGAGGUGGUCAUUGGAAAGUUCCAAAAUGUUUGGAAAAAUAGACUGGAAAUUAUGACAUAAAUGUCAAUGAUAAAACUUGUCAGAACGCUCUGAGGUUAAAAAGCAGACGUGUACACGGAAGUCCGCGCUGCUCAGAAGUUCAGUAUAAUCGGUAAAAUAAAGUUACGAUUUAUUUUAACAUUUAUAAACUACACAUAGCAGUAAUCGCAGUAUGUAAUAAAACAUUUUCAUCUGGCUUUCUCUCUUUUAGCCUUAGUGGUUCUUCUAAUGUAAUAAAAUCUCACAAAUAGAUAAAUGAUUACCUAUGUAAGUAGUACAUAAUAAGUUAGAUACAUAAUAAUGUUGAGACUCUUUUAGCUAUUUACUUGGGCUUUGACUCUGGGUCGAGUGGUUUCGAACAUUGAACACGUACGUUUAUUCUGUAGACGUGAGUAGUACUUCAAAUUUCUUAAGAUUUCUCAGCAAUGAUUUGAGACUUCAGCUUCAAUGCAAAGCUUAUAAGAAUUAAAAAAAAAAUAGUUUUAUUACCUCUAAAAUUAAUCAUGAACUUUAAAAAUAUAUAUAUAUGUAGGUAUAUUUCGCAUUAUUUCGAAGUAUAUAGCGCAAGGUAAAGGAAAUGAAUAAAAAAUUACUUCCCAAAAUGGGAAUACUUCAAACUCUCAAAUACCGAGCGAAAGGAUUGAAAGUUUUGUGGUAUGGGAGGGGGUGGACUUCCCUGAAAGAUUGAUAUGAGAAAGUUCGGAAGUAGAAAUGCCGUCAUUUCUACUCAGAGGGAUUCGAACAGAAACAAAAAAUCAGAGGGGGUGGAAAACAGAGCUGUUUUCACGCCAUGAUUUCCAAUUGGAAAAAAAAUCAACUUAAUACAUACAAAAAUAACUUAUGCAAAGGGUGGGGGAAAUUAAGAGAAGGACAGAGAAAAUUAUUCUGCCGAAGAAAAUCCUCCGUAAUUUCAAUUUGAAUUAGUAUAUAGCUGAAAAAAAAUCCUGCAUGCUCAAUCGCGGUUAAAUUGAAAAGAAAAAAAUAGUUAAGAAAGUAAAUUGAAGGGAAAGCCGCCCAUUUGAAUUUUCUCUCGUUAUAUUCCUUUUUAUUUCAAUUUGUCCUUUUUUGUGCCCCUCUCCCUUCUACUUCUCUGUGAAAAAAAAAUUGUGAUGAACAUUUUUUCAACCUCAUAAUGAGAAUCUGAAAAUUGCCAGAAGCUCAAUAUGAUGAAAAGCAUUUUUAUACCAAAAAGUAACACACACACACAGCAAUGAUAAUAAUUUUUAUUAUGAUUUUAACCUGCUCAUACCUCUUGGAAAAGUCCUUCUGGGUAGGGUAGGUUGAAUUAUAUGUUUAUGAAAAUUCAACAGGCACCUUUAGUCACGUGCUCUGGGGAAAUUUUUCUUGUUAACAAUUUACGCCCACCUUGUUGUGGUUUUGACCCCGAAGGUACAGCCUCUUUUAUCGAGUAAAAAAUAACACCCCUCUGGCCCCAUAAAAUGAUGUGUUUUUUCCAUCAGCAAAGAGAAACAUCUUUCGGUGGGAAAUUCAUUGAGUUUCGCCAUAGUAUGAAAAUUUUGUGAAGCAUUUUAAUAACCUGUCCGUGUGUUUUGUGGCUCUGUUCAUUUUCCUACCCCCUACUUCAUUCUGGAAUCAAAUGCAAAAGAAGAGCCCUUGAAUUUCUCAUGGGGAUGCGGAUGAUAUUGUUUAUGCUGUCACUCCUUAUACUUAUCGACAAGAAGGAUAAUAUUGGGGACUUAAUGCUUUUCUGUUUGGAGACGAAAAUGAAAAUUCAGACAAAAUUAGAAGACUUGAAUAUUAAUAAGAUGGAAAUUCUAUACCAUAAUCUUAUUUUACAUUGCGUAUGUCCUAUAUAUGGGUACAAUUUCAAUGUAUUUUCUGCUGCUUGAUUAUUCUUUGUCACAAUAAUUAAAUAAAGUUCAACAAAAUUCAUCUUUCUUGUUAACAAUUUCCAUUGUGGAAACAUCUUCGAGUUUUUUUUUAUCUUUUGCUCUUUACUACUCUUUAACUUUAACUUUUAACUUAAAAGCUUUUUAUUUUAAAAAAAAUAAAACUAUGAUUAACCUUUAUUAGGUAGGAAAGAUGUAAAAGAACUAAAACAAGCCAACUUAACCAUCAUAUUGCAAUUUCCUGACAACGUAAAGGACGUUGCCGUACGAAGAAUUUUAUAUGAUAUGGAGGGAUUAAAAUGUUUUCCAUGGGUGUCAUAUCUCCUUAAAUGAGAAUAUCUGCUCUGUCUGUAGUACACGAUUAUGUGGAUUAUUUACGGCAUGUUGAUCCAAGAAUAGUUGAGUAUUAUACACGUAGAUACAUACAUGUUUCAUCCCCUAGAGAAAGUCGCAUGAAAAUAUAUCUCACAGGUGAAUUAUCCAGAAAUUAAUCUUUUGCGUUUAUGAAGCUGAAGCCCCAUCGUCUUUACAUCAAACACCAUUUGCCUCUCACCUACACCCAGCAUCUCCUUGACUCCCCAUCUGGGGUGGCAAGCAUUUGGGAGUGUGUGUGCUACAUGUGCCGAAACAUAAAAUACUGACGCCGGGGUGUGCGAUAUUAUAUUUACGCCCCGAGACACGGAAACAAAAUUAUCUGACGGUGGGGGUCAUACUCAUCUCAUUACUCACCCUCCUGUUGCGUCCAAACACAGUGUGGUUGCUACCGCGUCCACUCCACAUGUGGUUUUAUGUUGGGACAAAAGAAAGUGUUAACCUUGCAAACAAUAUCACCACCACACCACACAAUUACCAGAAGGAGUAGACCCUAUUAGGAAAUUGAUCUCAUAGCCAUACAAACACCUUUAGAUAGAUAUCCUUUUUAAUGAAGUACAAAAAAGAUAAAAUUUAAUUAACAGAAAGGUUCUUUAGCAUUAACAUUCCACCCACCUAUAAAAAAAGUAUCUUUUCUACAAAAAGAAAAUGUCAGAGAGUUUCAUUUCCUUGGAAAGGAAGAAUUUUGUUUAUUGUUAUUUCCCUUAAAAUUCAUGCAAAAUUCAUAGAGAGAAAAAAUUCUCGGUAAUGUCAAGAAGUAAAAAAUAUUAUCUGUUUACCAAAAGGAAAAA